CCUACGGGAGGCAGCAGUGAGGAAUAUUGGUCAAUGGGCGGGAGCCUGAACCAGCCAAGCCGCGUGAGGGAAGAAGGUACAGCGUAUCGUAAACCUCUUUUGUCAGGGAACAAAGGCGGGGACUAGUCCCCGGAUGAGGGUACCUGAAGAAAAAGCAUCGGCUAACUCCGUGCCAGCAGCCGCGGUAAUACGGAGGAUGCGAGCGUUAUCCGGAUUUAUUGGGUUUAAAGGGUGCGCGGGCGGUCUGUUAAGUCAGCGGUCAAAGCCCGGGGCUCAACCCCGGCCCGCCGUUGAAACUGGCAGUCUCGAGUUGGAGAGAAGUAUGCGGAAUGCGCGGUGUAGCGGUGAAAUGCAUAGAUAUCGCGCAGAACUCCGAUUGCGAAGGCAGCAUGCCGGCUCCACACUGACGCUGAGGCACGAAAGCGUGGGUAUCGAACAGGAUUAGAUACCCCUGUAGUC
rnacentral:rRNA from 1 species